rnacentral:rRNA from 1 species
CCUACGGGAGGCAGCAGUGGGGAAUCUUGCGCAAUGGGCGAAAGCCUGACGCAGCCAUGCCGCGUGAAUGAUGAAGGUCUUAGGAUUGUAAAAUUCUUUCACCGGGGACGAUAAUGACGGUACCCGGAGAAGAAGCCCCGGCUAACUUCGUGCCAGCAGCCGCGGUAAUACGAAGGGGGCUAGCGUUGCUCGGAAUUACUGGGCGUAAAGGGAGCGUAGGCGGAUAGUUUAGUCAGAGGUGAAAGCCCAGGGCUCAACCUUGGAAUUGCCUUUGAUACUGGCUAUCUUGAGUGUGGGAGAGGUAUGUGGAACUCCGAGUGUAGAGGUGAAAUUCGUAGAUAUUCGGAAGAACACCAGUGGCGAAGGCGACAUACUGGCCCAUUACUGACGCUGAGGCUCGAAAGCGUGGGGAGCAAACAGGAUUAGAUACCCUGGUAGUCCACGCUGUAAACGAUGAGUGCUAGUUGUCGGCAUGCAUGCAUGUCGGUGACGCAGCUACGCAUUAAGACACUCCGCCGUCGGGGAGGUACGGGUCGGCGAAGAAGUUAAAACGUUAAAAGUAAGUAAGUUAGACGGACGUGAGACGUGCCGAACGGACGACGACGAGGGAGGUUAGG